rnacentral:rRNA from 1 species
CCGGAUGCUCCAGUUGACCGCAUGGUCCUCUGGGAAAGCUUUUGCGGUAUGGGAUGGGGUCGCGUCCUAUCAGCUUGAUGGCGGGGUAACGGCCCACCAUGGCUUCGACGGGUAGCCGGCCUGAGAGGGCGACCGGCCACAUUGGGACUGAGAUACGGCCCAGACUCCUACGGGAGGCAGCAGUGGGGAAUAUUGCACAAUGGGCGCAAGCCUGAUGCAGCGACGCCGCGUGCGGGAUGACGGCCUUCGGGUUGUAAACCGCUUUUGACUGGGAGCAAGCCCUUCGGGGUGAGUGUACCUUUCGAAUAAGCACCGGCUAACUACGUGCCAGCAGCCGCGGUAAUACGUAGGGUGCAAGCGUUAUCCGGAAUUAUUGGGCGUAAAGGGCUCGUAGGCGGUUCGUCGCGUCCGGUGUGAAAGUCCAUCGCUUAACGGUGGAUCCGCGCCGGGUACGGGCGGGCUUGAGUGCGGUAGGGGAGACUGGAAUUCCCGGUG